AUUGAACGCUGGCGGCAGGCCUAACACAUGCAAGUCGAACGAGUGGCGGACGGGUGAGUAAUGUCUGGGAAACUGACUGAUGGAGGGGGAUAACUAAUGGAAAAGGUAGCUAAUACCGCAUACCAUCGGAUGUGCCCAGAUGGGAUUAGCUAGUAGGUGGGGUAAAGGCGCACCUAGGCGACGAUCCCUAGCUGGUCUGAGAGGAUGACCAGCCACACUGGAAUGGAGAAACGGUCCAGACUCCUACGAGAGGCAGCAGUGGGGAAUAUGGAACAAUGGGCGAAAGCCUGAGGCAGCCAUGCCGCGUGUAUGAAGAAUGCCUUCGGGUUGUAAAGUACUUUCAGCGGGGAGGCGUUACCCGCAGAAGAAGCACCGGCUAACUCCGUGCCAGCCGCCGCGGUAAUAC
rnacentral:rRNA from 1 species